UUGGUCGGCGCUGCCGCUGCCCGCAGCGCGCCUGUGCCAUUGGCCGACGAGGGCCCCGCAGCUCCCCACGCCUGUCCGCUCUUCACGUCUCCCGAGGGCGCGCGGCGCGGCCCCGUGGCCACCGCCCGACGCCGAGAGGAGCGGAGUGGGUGGCAGCCCCGGGGCUAGCGAGCGCGGAAGGGAGGCGCCCACGCGGGACGUGGGAGCGGAAGGCGUCGGGGAUCGCUGCGCGGAUGCGCGGCCCCUGCGCGGAGAGGUCAGCAGGAUGAGGCAGUGUGUGGCCUGCUGCUGGGUGCUGCUACUGCUUGCUGCCACCUUCUGCCAACCGGCCGCCGCCAAAGGCGGGCGUGGGGGCUCCCGGGGGGCUGCACGCGGCAUGGCACGGGGGGCUGCCCGCAGCCGGCACAGGGGCCUGCCACGCUAUGGCGGGGCCCUGCGUGUGGCUGUGGCAGCAGCAGCUGGGGCAGCAGCUGGAGCCGCACUGCACCAGGCCCAGGCAGAGACGGAGUACCACGAAGGCAAUGGGACAGCCUGGACAUCGCUGGCAUCAGAACAGGUGGAAUGGGGCUGGGCCGUGCCAUGGCUCUGUCCACUCACUGCCAUCCUGCACCACUGAUGGCAUCCACUGGGACCACUGGGUUCCUAAAGCGAUCCCACAGCAACGUGGAAAUAAAGCUGGGUGACACCACGUGUGGCUGGA